GAUGAACGCUAGCGACAGGCUUAACACAUGCAAGUCGAGGGGCAGCGGGGUGGUGCUUGCACUACUGCCGGCGACCGGCGCACGGGUGAGUAACACGUAUGCAACCUGCCCUUGUCAGGGGGAUAAUCGGGGGAAACCCCGUCUAAUACCGCGUAAAUCGCUUAGGGGCAUCCCGGAGCGAGGAAAGCCGCGAGGCGGACAAGGAUGGGCAUGCGGGACAUUAGGCAGACGGCGGGGUAACGGCCCACCGAGCCGACGAUGUCUAGGGGUUCUGAGAGGAAGGUCCCCCACAUUGGUACUGAGACACGGACCAAACUCCUACGGGAGGCAGCAGUGAGGAAUAUUGGUCAAUGGGCGCGAGCCUGAACCAGCCAAGUCGCGUGAGGGAAGACUGUGCAAAGCAUUGUAAACCUCUUUUGUCGGGGAACAAAGGCUCUCACGCGUGGGAGUAUGAGUGUACCCGAAGAAAAAGCAUCGGCUAACUCCGUGCCAGCCGCCGCGGUAA
rnacentral:rRNA from 1 species